rnacentral:misc_RNA from 1 species
GAUGAAGAACGUAGCGAAAUGCGAUAAGUAAUGCGAAUUGCAGAAUUCCAGUGAGUCAUCGAAUCUUUGAACGCACAUUGCGCCCUUUGGUAUUCCGAAGGGCAUGCCUGUUCGAGCGUCAUUAUCACCCCUCAAGCCCUCGGCUUGGUGUUGGACGGUUUGGUGGAGGCCCCCUCGGGGGCUCCUGCCCCUCCCAAAGACAAUGACGGCGGCCUCGUUGGACCCCCGGUACACUGAGUUCUUCACGGGACACGUAUCGGACACAUGGUUUACGGGACACGGUCUGCCUCCCCUCAGGGAGAAUCUUUCUAAGGUUGACCUCGGAUCAGGUAGGGAUACCCGCUGAACUUAAGCAUAUCAAUAAGCGGAGGA